rnacentral:lncRNA from 10 species
UAUUCCUUAUCUUUUUACUUCCUUAGAGGUUGAGCAGCUCAACCAUGAUAGGCUGGAGCUAAAUCAGUACAAGCAUCUACCUCGCCUACAUUGUGCUUGUGGGUCUAUCUUUGGAUAACUAGUUAUCUGACCGUGAACGAUUUCUAAGCCUCUUGGAGGAGAGAGUAAAAUGUACGAAUUCUGAGCAACAGAAUUCUCAGUGUAGAGUGCUACAAUAAAUUGGAUUACAUAUUAGAGGUGACUCAGCCUGUGGCUCUAGGAACAAGAUCAAAUUGGAUGAGAUGAAAGUCUGACUUGCCAUAGCAAGUGUUUGUGGUUGUGCUGUGCCCAAGCAAAGAAGUACCUGCCUCAUUGUGCUACAAUAGCCUUAUGUAAGUUGGUGUUAAUCCGAUUUGGACAUGUUCAUUAUACCUUGGCCUAGG